rnacentral:tRNA from 1 species
GUGCCGCUAGCUCAGCUGGUAGAGCAACGGACUUUUAAUCCGUAGGUCGCGGGUUCGAGCCCCGCGCGGCACACCA